ACGCGGUAAACGAUGGAUGCUCGCUGUAUGCCUUUAGGGUAUGUGGCCAAGGGAAACCAUUAAGCAUCCCACCUGGGGAGUACGCCGGCAACGGUGAAACUCAAAGGAAUUGACGGGGGCCCGCACAAGCGGAGGAACAUGUGGUUUAAUUCGAUGAUACGCGAGGAACCUUACCCGGGCUUGAACUGCAGGUGAACGAUCCAGAGAUGGUGAGGCCCUUCGGGGCACCUGUGGAGGUGCUGCAUGGUUGUCGUCAGCUCGUGCCGUGAGGUGUCGGCUUAAGUGCCAUAACGAGCGCAACCCCUUUCAUUAGUUGCCAUCAGGUCAUGCUGGGCACUCUGGUGAUACUGCCACCGUAAGGUGUGAGGAAGGUGGGGAUGACGUCAAAUCAGCACGGCCCUUACGUCCGGGGCUACACACGUGUUACAAUGGCGCAUACAGAGAGUCGGUUCCGGGCAAUCGGAAUCUAAUCAAUAAAGUGCGUCGUAGUUCGGACUGGGGUCUGCAACCCGACCCCACGAAGCUGGAUUCGCUAGUAAUCGCGCAUCAGCCAUGGCGCGGUGAAUACGUUCCCGGGCCUUGUACACACCGCCCGUCAAGCCAUGAAAGCCGGGGGCACCUGAAGUCUGUGACCGCGAGGGGCGGCCUAAGGUGAAACUGGUAAUUGGGGCU
rnacentral:rRNA from 1 species